rnacentral:rRNA from 1 species
UUGUGCCAGCAGCCGCGGUAAUACGAAGGGGGCUAGCGUUGCUCGGAAUCACUGGGCGUAAAGGGCGCGUAGGCGGCCAUUUAAGUCGGGGGUGAAAGCCUGUGGCUCAACCACAGAAUUGCCUUCGAUACUGGGUGGCUUGAGUCCGGAAGAGGUUGGUGGAACUGCGAGUGUAGAGGUGAAAUUCGUAGAUAUUCGCAAGAACACCGGUGGCGAAGGCGGCCAACUGGUCCGGAACUGACGCUGAGGCGCGAAAGCGUGGGGAGCAAACAGGAUUAGAUA